rnacentral:rRNA from 1 species
GCUCAAAUUUGAAAGCUGGCCCCUCCGGGGCCCGCGUUGUAAUUUGCAGAGGAUGCUUUGGGUGCGGCCCCCGUCUAAGUGCCCUGGAACGGGCCGUCAGAGAGGGUGAGAAUCCCGUCUUGGGCGGGGUGUCCGUGCCCGUGUAAAGCUCCUUCGACGAGUCGAGUUGUUUGGGAAUGCAGCUCUAAAUGGGUGGUAAAUUUCAUCUAAAGCUAAAUACUGGCCGGAGACCGAUAGCGCACAAGUAGAGUGAUCGAAAGAUGAAAAGCACUUUGAAAAGAGAGUUAAACAGCACGUGAAAUUGUUGAAAGGGAAGCGCUUGCGACCAGACUCGCCCUCGGGGUUCAGCCGGCACUCGUGCCGGUGUACUUCCCCGGGGGCGGGCCAGCGUCAGCUUGGGCGGCCGGUCAAAGGCCUCCGGAAUGUAGUGCCCCCCGGGGCACCUUAUAGCCGGAGGUGCAAUGCGGCCAGCCUGGGCUGAGGAACGCGCUUCGGCACGGACGCUGGCAUAAUGGUCGCAAACGACCCGUCUU